UACGGAGGAUGCGAGCGUUAUCCGGAUUUAUUGGGUUUAAAGGGUGCGCAGGCGGAUUUUUAAGUCAGCGGUCAAAUCGUGGGGCUCAACCCCAUCCAGCCGUUGAAACUGGAAGACUUGAGUGUGUUUGAGGUAGGCGGAAUGCGUGGUGUAGCGGUGAAAUGCAUAGAUAUCACGCAGAACUCCGAUUGCGAAGGCAGCAUACCGGCGCCCUACUGACGCUGAGGCACGAAAGUGCGGGGAUCGAACAGG
rnacentral:rRNA from 1 species